rnacentral:rRNA from 1 species
GGGGAAUCUUGCGCAAUGGGCGAAAGCCUGACGCAGCAACGCCGCGUGAGUGAAGAAGGCCCUUGGGUUGUAAAGCUCUUUCGGCCAGGAAGAAGGGCGGACGUCGUGAAUAAGGGCGUUGCUUGACGGUACUAGAAGAAGAAGCACCGGCUAACUCCGUGCCAGCAGCCGCGGUAAUACGGAGGGUGCAAGCGUUGUUCGGAAUGACUGGGCGUAAAGCGCACGUAGGCGGGUUCUUAAGUCGGAUGUGAAAUCCCCGGGCUCAACCUGGGAACAGCAUACGAAACUGGAGAUCUUGAAUGCCCGAGAGGCCAGUGGAAUUCCAGGUGUAGGAGUGAAAUCCGUAGAUAUCUGGAGGAACACCAGAGGCGAAGGCGACUGGCUGGCGGUGCAUUGACGCUGAGGUGCGAAAGCGUGGGGAGCAAA